CAUUCCCGAACAGAGAGAUUGAAGGAGGAGAAGGUUGGGCUUCUCCAGGUUCUUCGUCCUUGAACCAAGAGAAAGAGGGAGGAAAAGACGGGUCUUCUUCAGGCUCUUCAUCUGUUCGUUCUCUGUUCUUCAAUCCGAUGAGAGCAAGUUUAAUUAAACCCAAGUUGUACUGUGAUGAAUACCUAAGUUGUUCUACAUGUUUUGAAUAUGAGCAUGAAGGUGGUUACAACACCUGUCCAAACAUCACAAGUGUCCAACCCUCCUGGGGAAACCCAAUUGAGAAGAUCAAAAUUGAAUAUAAGGGGGUCCAUAAAGUCAAAGAGAAUUGAAGAAGAAUCAACUAUUGAUGACUAGAGGAUUAUGACCCAUAGGUAGCUAGGAAAGAUGGUGACACAAUUAGGAGAGCACAAUCUCUGAGAAAUAAAGACAUAAGUAAAAGAGGGGCCAAGAAAUCAAAGGCAGGGAUGAGGGAAAUAGAGACAACUUUUGCUGCAGGUGGUUAUGUGCUAAGGUCCCAGGUAAAAUAGAAUGAUGAGCCAAAAAGAACUAAAGCAAUAGGGGCUGAAAAGAAAAAAAAAUAUGGCUACCCCAAGAGUUAGAUCAUUUGCUGCCUCAACUAACCCACAGAAGAAGGUUUCUUGAAGGAAGAGCAUUUUAAUAUUAGCUUCAGGGAUUUUAUGUUUCUCUUUUUUGGUUUUUUGGUUGGGUGACUUUGUAGCCCUCUCCAGGUGCAAUUUUGUAUGACUAAUGGUAUAUUAAAUCUGCAGAAUGUAUUUAAUCUGCAGGGUUUUGUAAACAUGCAUUUUAAUACAAACAAUUAUGUGGAAUUGAAUACAUUUAGUGAAUAUCAAUGUGCAGUUUAU